AGUUUCUCUCACAACCACUAGAUGAAACACAUUGUGAAACAAUACGCAAUGCAUACUUCUGCAACGUAGGCACUUCUCCUCCAAACUGAAACCACCAAUCAGCUACCAAAAUAAGAAUGGAAGUCAGCCACAAGAUGGUCCCUAAACCUUGUUGCACCUCCACCUUUGUUUGUAGUCCCACAGUACCCACAUUUGAAACCCUGACCAGCAAGCUUUGAGCCAUGCAUCCACACCUUGUUAAUGUCUCCAUCAUUAUGGUCUACAUUCCAGAAGCAAAAAUACCAGAAAUUAAAAACAUGGAAACUUAAUUAACAAUUUCAAAAUUUUGUCUAGAGCAAUGCAAGUUUUUCUAAUCAUAGCAAUCCACAAACAUUUAAUAAAAAUAUAAACCUAAAGAACAGAUUUAUAUACAAUCAGUAUACUAAAUAGGCAGCUAAGCCACUUAGCAGUUUUGCAAAAAAUAAAAAACAAAAAACAAAACCUGAUGAAAUAUAAACUUCACUAAUUUAUCAGUCAUCAGUUCAUGAAAGAAUCACUUAAAAAAAUAACAUGUCCAUUGGACCAUUAGUCAUCAUUUCAUCACAAGAACACUGCCUGCAGAACAUACUUGGCAUACACUGAAAUUCUAGAUAGAACACUGCAACGGUCCAAGACAACAACAAAAAGGUCCAUCAAAAAAUUAUAGCCUACAAGACAUAUCUAGCAGAAAGUAGAAGUCUAAACAUGGCUGCCAGAGAUACCUCAACUUUUAUGAUAUAAAAUAAUAAAUCUAACUGGGUCAUGCUUAAAUUUGAUGAUACAAUAUUAAUAGAACCACCACGCUAGCUAUAGCUUCAUGAAGUGUAUUGUACCACAAAUAAACUGAUCUAUACAUACAAAUCAGAGAUAUGCAGUUAUGAUUUCUAUCAAUAUAAAACAGGGUACUCUGUUUUACAUAUACCUUG
rnacentral:lncRNA from 1 species